UACGGGGGGGGCAAACGUUGUUCGGAAUUACUGGGCGUAAAGCGCGUGUAGGCUGUCUCGCAAGUCGGGUGUGAAAGCCCUGGGCUCAACCUAGGAAGUGCACUCGAAACUGCGAGACUUGAGUCCUGGAGAGGAAGGCGGAAUUCUCGGUGUAGAGGUGAAAUUCGUAGAUAUCGAGAGGAACACCGGUGGCGAAGGCGGCCUUCUGGACAGUGACUGACGCUGAGACGCGAAAGCGUGGGGGGCAAACAGG
rnacentral:rRNA from 1 species